AUUGAACGCUGGCGGCAUGCCUUACACAUGCAAGUCGAACGGUAACAGGUCUUCGGAUGCUGACGAGUGGCGCACGGGUGAGUAAUACAUCGGAACGUGCCCGAUCGUGGGGGAUAACGAAGCGAAAGCUUUGCUAAUACCGCAUAAGAUCUACGGAUGAAAGCAGGGGACCGCAAGGCCUUGCGCGAACGGAGCGGCCGAUGGCAGAUUAGGUAGUUGGUGGGAUAAAAGCUUACCAAGCCGACGAUCUGUAGCUGGUCUGAGAGGACGACCAGCCACACUGGGACUGAGACACGGCCCAGACUCCUACGAGAGGCAGCAGUGUGGAAUUUUGGGCAAGGGGCGAGGGCCUGAUCCAGCCAUGCCGCGUGCAGGAUGAAGGCCUUGGGGUUGUGAACUGCUUUUGUACGGAACGAAAAGACUCUGGUUAAUACCUGGGGUUCAUGACGGUACCGUAAGAAUAAGCACCGGCUAACUACGUG
rnacentral:rRNA from 1 species